CGAAUACGAGACGCUACGGCGUCGAAGUAGUGUAUGUCAUGCUUCCAAGAAAAGCUUGCACUGUCAUAAAUAAAAGAUGCCUGUACCAUAACCGACACAGGUGGGUAGGUAGAGUAUACUAAGGGGCGCGAGAUAACUCUCUCUAAGGAACUCGGCAAAAUAACUCCGUAACUUCGGGAGAAGGAGUGCCUUAUUUAAUAAGGUUGCAAUAACAAGAUCCAAGCAACUGUUUACCAAAAACACAGGUCUCCGCUAAGUCGUAAGACGAUGUAUGGGGGCUGACGCCUGCCCAGUGCCAGAAGGUUAAAGAAGUUGGUUAGCAUCUGCGAAGCUGAUAACUGAAGCCCUGGUGAACGGCGGCCGUAACGAUAACGGUCCUAAGGUAGCGAAAUUCCUUGUCGGGUAAGUUCCGACCCGCACGAAAGGCGUAAUGAUUUGGAUACUGUCUCGGAGAGGGGCUCGGUGAAAUAGACUUGUCUGUGAAGAUGCGGACUACCUGCACCUGGACAGAAAGACCCUAUGAAGCUUUACUGUAACUUGAAAUUGAAAUUGGACUUUAUUCGCGCAGUAUAGGUGGGAGGCGUUGAAAAUACUCUUGCGGGAGUAUUGGAGCUAUCAGUGAGAUACCACUCUUAUAAUGUUAGAUUUCUAACUUUGAACCAUUAUCUGGUCAAAGAACAGUUUCAGGCGGGCAGUUUGACUGGGGCGGUCGCCUCCCAAACGGUAACGGAGGCGUACAAAGGUUUCCUCUGAACGGAUAGAAAUCGUAUCUAGAGUAUAAAGGCAUAAGGAAGCUUGACUGUGAGACCUACAAGUCGAGCAGGGACGAAAGUCGGUCUUAGUGAUCUGACGGUACUGAGUGGAAAGGCCGUCACUCAACGGAUAAAAGUUACUCUAGGAUAACAGGCUGAUCUCCCCCAAGAGUUCACAUCGACGGGGAGGUUUGGCACCUCGAUGUCGGCUCAUCGCAUCCUGGGGCGGUAGUACGUCCCAAGGGUUGGGCUGUUCGCCCAUGAAAGCGGUACGCGAGCUGGGUUCAGAACGUCGUGAGACAGUUCGGUCCAUAUCCGGUGUAGGCGUUAGAAUAUUGAGAGGAGCCUUCUCUAGUACGAGAGGACCGAGAAGGACAUACCUCUGGUGUACCAGUUAUCGUGCCAACGGUAAACGCUGGGUAGCUAUGUAUGGAGUGGAUAACCGCUGAAAGCAUCUAAGUGGGAAGCCCACCUCAAGAUAAGUAUUCUC
rnacentral:rRNA from 1 species